rnacentral:rRNA from 1 species
UACGGGGGGGGCAAGCGUUGUUCGGAAUUACUGGGCGUAAAGCGCGCGCAGGCGGCCCUGUGCGCUGCCGGUGAAAGCUCCCGGCUUACCUGGGAGAGGUUCGGCAGGACGGCAGGGCUGGAGGGUGGGAGAGGUCGGUGGAAUUCCCGGUGUAGUGGUGAAAUGCGUAGAGAUCGAGAGGAACACCCGUAGCGAAGGCGGCCGACUGGACCACACCCGACGCUGAGGCGCGAAGGCCAGGGGAGCGAACGGG